rnacentral:misc_RNA from 1 species
GCAUGUUUGGCCCGAGCAUGAUGGGACCUAGCAUGUUUAAUUCAGACAGGAGGGCCUUUGGAGAGCCCAGUGAUGGAUUUAUUCAGAGUGCACCUCCUACUAGGUCAAGUGGGCCAAUUAUUGAGGAGAUAACAUCUGAUGAUGAAGGAGAAGGUGGAGAUAUGCCUGAUACUGAGCAGAAAGAUAACCCUAGAAAACAUCCGAGAUCUGGUAAAGAGCCUGAUGAAGAAACUGAAGCUGUGGAGGCAGUCAAGUAUGCUGAGAAAAAGAGCAAGCACAUGCAAGGUGGUAGUAGCUCGAUCAUGUCAAAUAUACCAUCCCCUCAGACUCGUGCAUAUAGCUUCCAUAGCUCAAUUGUAACUUACGGUGGUGUAAAUGGAGCAUAUUAUACUUCAUCUACAACAAGGAAAACUGGUGGAAAUGGAGUGACAGUGGAAGAGAGUAAGGAAGCUGAUACUGCCACUGGAAGAGCCACUCACAGGGUUUCUCGAGCAAUUCGUGAGAAGGGUCAUUCGGUCACAAGGAAACUGGACGAUGGAAGGGUGGAGACUAUGCAAACAUUACAUAACCUGGAAGAAGAAGAGCUGCCACAGUUUGAGGAGUCCUGGAAGGGGAGUGCAAGGGAGCA